rnacentral:rRNA from 1 species
GACGAACGCUGGCGGCGUGCUUAACACAUGCAAGUCGAACGGAAAGGCCCUGCUUUUGUGGGGUGCUCGAGUGGCGAACGGGUGAGUAACACGUGAGUAACCUGCCCUUGACUUUGGGAUAACUUCAGGAAACUGGGGCUAAUACCGGAUAGGAGCUCCUGCUGCAUGGUGGGGGUUGGAAAGUUUCGGCGGUUGGGGAUGGACUCGCGGCUUAUCAGCUUGUUGGUUGGGUAGUGGCUUACCAAGGCUUUGACGGGUAGCCAGCCUGAGAGGGUGACCGGCCACAUUGGGACUGAGAUACGGCCCAGACUCCUACGGGAGGCAGCAGUGGGGAAUAUUGCACAAUGGGCGGAAGCCUGAUGCAGCAACGCCGCGUGCGGGAUGACGGCCUUCGGGUUGUAAACCGCUUUCGCCUGUGACGAAGCGUGAGUGACGGUAAUGGGUAAAGAAGCACCGGCUAACUACGUG